rnacentral:rRNA from 1 species
CCUACGGGAGGCAGCAAUGGGGGAUAUUGCACAAUGGGGGGAACCCUGAUGCAGCGACGCCGCGUGGGUGAAGAAGCGCCUCGGCGCGUAAAGCUCUGUCCUCAAGGAAGAUAAUGACGGUACUUGAGGAGGAAGCCCCGGCUAACUACGUGCCAGCAGCCGCGGUAUUACGUAGGGGGCUAGCGUUAUCCGGAAUUACUGGGCGUAAGGGGUGCGUAGGUGGUUUCUUAGGUUGGAGGUAAAAGGCUACGGCUAAACCGUAGUAAGCCGUUGAAACUGGGGGACUUGAGUGCAGGAGAGGAGAGUGGAAUUCCUAGUGUAGCGGUGAAAUGCGUAGAUAUUAGGAAGAACACCGAUUGCGAAGGCAGCUCUCUGGACUGUAACUGACACUGAGGCACGAAAGCGUGGGGAGCGAACAGGAUUAGAUACCCUUGUAGUC